rnacentral:lncRNA from 1 species
ACAGACAUAUACGCGCGCGCGCACACACAGACGCGCGCACGUACGCAGUCUCACAUAAACAUACAAAAGUCACAGACACACACACACACACACGCACGCACCCACGCACGCACAGCCCAUCCUUCCUCCAAGGCUCGCGAAUCAUCUCUCCACAAAUCCUGCCUUCGGGGCCGCAGCCUGCAGGCCGACCUCAGUCCGUCCUCACAGAGCCUAGUUGGGUGCACAGCUCUCCCUGACGCGCGAGGAGCAGGUUCACGGGAGUCGGUCGCGCAUCCCCAGCGCCCUGCGGGCCUCGCACCGGCUGUGGCGGUGACCCCGAAUUCUUCCAUCUCUAUGAGAACAAGCCCAUUUUAACUUUCUGGAGGAUAAAAUAGCAUGCUGAGGAAAGCCAAAGUGCGCCAGUUUACAGACAGCUCACUCCCAGAAGCAGAGCCACCUAAUUCACCAGCAUCUGACCACUCACACCUGAAGGAGCCAAACUGAGCCCAGAAGAAUGGCCCAGCUAAGCCCAGCCUAAAUUUCUAACCAGCUCAACCCUGAGCUAGUAUGUUUCAGGAUUGUUAUGCAGUUAUAGCUUAGUAAUAUAUACACCCAUUAAAGACAGGAUUCCAGGAUUCCAGGACAGAUUGAUUACAAAUAACCUGCAAAUGCUUGGCACCCUGUAAGUAUUGAUAUUGUGUUUCCUUUAUUUAAAGUUAAAUUUGUUGUAAGAUGGUAUUGACUUAUAUAGAAGUGAGGCAAGAGAAUAGGGUCUGGAGGCAGGGAACUUAAGGCCAAUUCGUGCUGAAUUCCUAAAGAAGAAACACCAAGGUCUGGGAGCAGGGAACCUAAGGCCAAUUAACGUGAACUUCCUACAUCUAAACCAAAAGGAAAACCUCAUCUACACCUGAGUAGCAAAGGAUCAAAGGUGACUGUUGCUACAACCCUCUCCUUUGCACCAGUUCUCUGAUAGAAAAGGAGAGUGACUUGGAGUGGCCGUGGGCCAAGCACAGGCCAUGCCUUCAUCUGCAUGGGGUACCAAUUCACCUCAGCCUUUGAUUAGCCACGGACCAAAUCUUUCAUCCAGAUAAGGGGUAGCUGAUAGGGACCUCAAAAGGAGUACUUAAAACCCAGAUAACUUUGUAACCGGGUCCUUGAGCUGCUUGCUGGGGCUCACACCCAUCCCGUGGAGUGCUUUCUUGCUUUAAUAAACCCCUGCUUUUGCUGUUUCCUUCAUGUGUUUCGUUCCAUUUUGCAUUUUGUUCAAUUCUUUGUUCAAAAUAUCAAGGACCUGGACAACUCACACUCACGGCCUUCCUUCUGGGAACAGAAGUGCAGGUAGAAGUGGAUGCAUGUGAUUGGUGCUUAAACUCACACAGUGCCCCACACCACA